AUUGGACGCUGGCGGCAGGCCUAACACAUGCAAGUCGAGCGGAGCGGCGGACGGGUGAGUAAUGCCUAGGAAUCUGCCUGGUAGUGGGGGAUAACGUCCGGAAACGGGCGCUAAUACCGCAUACUAUCAGAUGAGCCUAGGUCGGAUUAGCUAGUUGGUGGGGUAAAGGCCUACCAAGGCGACGAUCCGUAACUGGUCUGAGAGGAUGAUCAGUCAAACUGGAGUUGAGACACGGGCCGUGCUCAUUCGGGAGGAAGCAGUGGGGAAUAUUGGACAAUGGGCGAAAGCCUGAUCCAGACAUGCCGCGUGUGUGAAGAAGGUCUUCGGAGUGUAAAGCACUUUAAGUUGGAAGGCGUUACCAACAGAAUAAGCACCGGCUAACUUCGUGCCAGCAGCCGCGGUAAUUC
rnacentral:rRNA from 1 species